UUAUUUGAGAGGAAAUGAAAAGUAACCAAACAAGACUGAACAUGACCAUUACAUUAUUAGAGGAAAUAACGUGACACGACACAGUAACACAAGACAUGCACGUGUCAGAAUCUGACAUGACAAAAAAAAGUAACAUAAGACGCACGUAUAUACAAAUCGAGAAUUCAUCUUAUUUGAGAGGAAAAUGAACAAAGCAAGAUACAUCGCACUCAACAUAUAUGGAAAUGCAACUGAAAUGAUCCGCAACAAGCACUAGGAUUUUCUGGAUCGUCGUUGUCAG
rnacentral:lncRNA from 1 species